AACGAACGCUGGCGGCGCGCCUAAUACAUGCAAGUCGAACGAGAAGGUGUAGCAAUACACUUGUACAGUGGCGAACGGGUGAGGAAUGCAUGGGUAACCUACCCUCGAGUGGGGAAUAACCAGCCGAAGGUUGGCUAAUACCGCGUACGUUUCCCGGUCUGCGGAUCGGGAAAGAAAGUCAUACCAUGGGUAUGACGCUCAAGGAUGGGCUCAUGUCCUAUCAGCUUGNGGUUAGGGUAACGGCCUACCAAGGCUCCGACGGGUAGCUGGUCUGAGAGGACGAUCAGCCACACUGGCACUGCGACACGGGCCAGACUCCUACGGGAGGCAGCAGUAAGGAAUAUUGCGCAAUGGGCGAAAGCCUGACGCAGCGACGCCG
rnacentral:rRNA from 1 species